AAAUAGAUUUACUUGGCGUAUUGAAUUUAGCAUGUUUAGGUAGCCAACUUUAUAAAAUAGAUUUGUGGAACUACUUUUAUACGAACUUUGAUUCAAGUUUAUUCAAUACAUGACCAUGGCCUAAGAAAGAUAUGACUGCCACAACAACUAGAGUACAAUAGUUUCACCUAGGCAUGGGAAAAGAACUCUUUAAGCAUAUGAGGAAAAGAGAAUAUCCUUGUGUUUGCUGUAAGAAACGAACAAACCAGAGAGAUCGACGUACUGUGACAGCUGCACAAUGACUAGUUCUCCAGAAGUGGACUGUAGGCGAUGUGUCUGAGGAUGAGGUGUUGUGUAGUUUGUGUCGGGUGAAGGUACAUUCUCAUCUUAAGCGGAGGAAAAAUGAACAACAAAACUUAGAGCAUGAGUUAAGAGACACAGCUCCCUUCUCUCCUCCAGAGAGGAAGCAAAUUAAUGCUAGGAAUGCUGCCAUUCACAGUCCUCCAUCAGUAACCCUGACAGUGCCCUCCACAUCUUCCAGUCAUUCUAGCUGCUUCAUCUGCAGAAAACCUGGGCCAAAGUUGGUUGUGGUGUCAUCAAAUGAACGUCACUCUGUUUUUUUACAACAAGGAGUAUUGAUUCCGCCAGGUUCAAGAUGCUGCACACGUCUUCUCCCUAAUGGAAGAUUCACUGAAGAGGCACUAGAAAAAAUUUCUUCAUUUUCAGAAACAUCUACACUUAACAGGACAUCUAUUGUUGAUAUGCUUAUGUAUCUAAGGGACAUUGCUCUGCUAAAUGGAGGGAAAAGAAUAGACUUUGAUGAUCCAAAUGCAUUGAGUGACCAAGAGUAUUUCAACCUCACUGGAAUAAAUAAAGUCUCCUUUGAUGAUCUGCUAUCAGCUGUAGAUGGAAAGGUAAAGAACACAUCCACUCGCAGUGUUAGAACCAGCCUUGGAAUUUUUCUUCUUAAGAUGAGAUGUGGUCUGUCCAAUGAAAUGCUGUCAACACUAUUAAAUGUUUCAAAGUCAAGCAUUCGUCGCGCCAUCUCGGUAGUGAGGAGAACACUGAUGGAGACAUUUGUACCAAACAAUGUUGGGUUUCAGCACAUCUCCAGAGAGGAUGUUAUAAAUAAGCAUACCAGGCCAUUAGCAGAGUCUCUUUUUGGUGGUACUGGCACCCAAGCCAUUCUUGUUUUAGACGGCACAUACAUUUAUAUACAAAAAAGUAUGAACUUUGCCUUUCAAAGGAAAUCAUAUAGCAUGCAUAAGGGUCGUCCAUUGGUGAAGCCAAUGAUUGUUGUAACAACUAGUGGCUAUUACCUCUCUGUUCUUGGACCAUAUGUAGCGAAGAACAAUGAUGCUGCAAUCUUGAGCCACAUCAUGAAGACUAACAAAGAAGAUGUGUUGAAGUGGAUUGAAGAGAGAGAUGUGUUUGUUGUAGACAGAGGCUUUCGGGAUUCCUUGACAUUACUUGAAGACCUUGGAUUAGUAUCUGCCAUGCCUGCAUUUAUGAAGAAAGGUGAAAAGCAAAUGUCAACAGCAGAUGCAAAUACAAGCCGUUUAGUAACCAAGGUAAGAUACGCUGGGUGGUAGAAUCUGCUAAUGCGAGGAUAAAGAGGUGGAAGUUUUUUGACCGCAUCCUUCCUUCGUCCCAGGUGCCAUUCAUUAGUGACUUCAUCAAGAUUGUGUGUGGAAUAUCAAACAAGUACUUUCCACCCUUGUCAACUGGUUGCACUGAGGAAGACUCUCUUGUAGCAGCUAAGAUGCAGUACCUGUCCAGACAAAUCAAUCAACUAAAAGAGGAAGUAGAAGAAAGGAAACUGGAUACCCGCUCAGCGAUCUGGAAACACCCUGACGAGCUUCAGGAUUUUCCUCGUCUUGAUGAAGAUCAACUUCGAGAGUUGACCUGUGGCACAUAUCAAGUGAAGCUUGCUAGUAGUUACGCAGAGGAACACUUUGGGAAUGGAUGUGAUAUCAUGGUUCAUAAAGAAGACCCGUCCUUGAUAAGAGUCAGGAUUAGGAGCCGGCAUAUUUCCUCAAAGUCUUACUUUCUUUGGAUACAAUAUGAUGAGGGAAGCGUGAUUGGAUGGUAUUGUAGAUGUCGUGCUGGGGCAAGAGUAGUUGGUAUGUGUGCCCACAUUGCCGCAGUUUUAUGGUAUAUUGGUUUAGGACGUGACAUGGAGUCCUUAAGAUCUGUAAGGGACUGGAGCAAGUUCAUUGAUGAUGCAGCUGUUAUUCCAGAUGCAAUUGAUGAGUCAGAAUCAGAGGAUGAUUCCUCAGAGUGCUUGAAUGAACAAUAGACUGCCUGUUCUUCAUAGAUAUAAAUGUGUACCAUACAUGUAUAUACAUGCUACUUGCAUUGCCAAUUGCCUCAAUUUUUAUUAUGAUCUAUUCAGUUAUUGUUAUAAUAUUCUGCAGUCUAUUUUGUUGAAGUAGACUGAAUUAAUAUUAACCUUAAUUCAUUUAGGGAAGCGGAUUUACAUGAAAACUUUUGUGUGAGUUUAAUGUUGGAUGCAUGCAGAAAUAAUCUGCCCCAGAUGUAAACAACAGGUUUUUUUUUAUGUAAAUUAGCUAGUGUGGUUUUAUGUCAAAGGCGGAAAUUGGCCAACCAUAUGUAUAGAUAUGCUAUAAGUUUAAUCAAUGUCAAUUAAUUUUUUUUGUGUAAUUCAUGUACUUAAAAUAUCUGAUGCAGUUACCCAGUACAUGUAUUUAAAUUGGAAUUGCACUAAUUAUGGUAUUACUCUUGAAAGUAAACUGUUUAAUUACCAAAUUAAUUUUGUUAACACUCUG
rnacentral:misc_RNA from 1 species